rnacentral:lncRNA from 1 species
GACUCUGAUAUAUUAUUCUUCAGUAUGUUCCUUGCCCUUUUUAACUCUAGAAUUUCUGCUUGAUUCUUUUUAAUUAUUUCAAUUUCUUUGUUAACUUUAUCUGAUAGGAUUUUGAAUUCCUUUCCUGUGUUAUUUUGAAUUUCAUUGAGUUUACUCAAAAAUUCUAAAUUCUCUUGUCUGAAAGGUCACAUAUUUCUGUCUCUUCUUGAUUGGUCACUGGUGCCUUAUUUAGCUCAAUUGGUGAAGUAAUGUUUUCUUGGAUGGUCUUGAUGCUUGUGGAGUUUGUUGGUAUCUGGGCAUUGAAGAGUUGGGUAUUUAUUGUAGUCUUCGAAAUCUAGGCUUGUUUGUACUCAUCCUUCUUCAGAAGACUUUCCAGGUAUUCAGAGGGACUUGGGCAUUGUGAUCUAAAUUUUUGGUCAUAGCAGCCAUAUCUGUAUGAGGGGGCACCCCAAGCCCAGUAAUGCUGUGGCUUUUGCAGACUUGUAGAGGUACUGCCUUGGUGUUCUUAGAUAAGAUCUGGAAAGAUUCACUGGAUUACCAGGCAGAGACUCUUGUUCUCUUCCAUUACUUUCUCCCAAACAAAUGGAGUCUCUCUCUGCUGAGCUGCCUGGAGCUGGGGGUGGGGUGACAUAUGCACCCCUAUGAUUACAACUACUGGGACUAUGCUGGUCAGGCCUGAAGCCAGCUCAGCAAUGGGUCUCAAUCAAGGCCCUCAGUAACCUCUGCCUGGCUGCCACCUAUGUUUGUGCAAGGCCCUAAGGGCUCUACCAUUAGCAGGUGGCAAAGCCAGCCAGGCUUGCGUUCUUCUCUGCAGGGCAGCACAUUCCCCCUGUUCCCAGGUGGGUCCAGAGAUGUCGCCUGGGAGCCAGGGCCUGGAGUUCUGUUACUGUGGCUGAGCUUGCACCCAAGCUACAAGAUGACAUCCUACUCUUCCCUCACCUUUCUACAAGUAGAGGAGUCUCUUCUCAUGGCCACCAUUGUCCCAGGAUGUGAGGUCUGGAACAGCUGCAGCCAUUUUGCCACCAUGGGAAACCUGGGACAUCUGAACUGACUCCAUGAAGCCUGAAGAGAAAGCUAAUAAGAAGGCAGAGAGAAGAGGAAGAGUCUUGGUCUUUGGAAAUAUCUUUUGGAGCUGCUGGAUCAAGUAUCACUUGAAGGUAGAACUAAAUCUGCACUUUAAAUUUACAUAUCCAAUAAAAAGUUCUUUAUGUUGUAAGCCAGUUUGAGGUGGAUUUCCUGUCACUUAUGGCUAAGAGAACCCUUGCUUAUUCUAUACCUAACUCACAGGCUUGUUGUGAGGUUUAAGUAAAAUAGCACUUAGUGAAGCAAGGUACACAAAUAAUACUCAAUGAAUGGUAAGCAAUAUUGUUAUGAUGCAUUUAUUUUUACAGCGUUAUGUGACCUUUUUAUUCUCUACUCCAACAUUGGCAUGUUUCUGUUAUUCUUUUCAGUAUUAUUGAAUUUAUUCCCCGAAGGAGAGCGGCUAAGAGUAUUGCCCAGCCACAGGCUCUCAACCACCAACCCGAGCCUCAGAUUCUCCUCACACAGCCACAGCUGUACCACAUGGCCCACGUGGUAUGGUGCUAAUUCCUCUGACAUCUAAUUUUCACUUUUUGGCAAUAUUUGGUCUCAUCAAGCUUUACACAUAAAUAUUUUCAGCAAAGUGCUCCAAAUGCCUUUUUCAGAAAUCUGAAUCCACAUGAAAACAAUGGCAACAAGAAAAAGGUGUAAACUUUCCAGAACAGGCCCAGAAUUUGAAAAUGUGAUAAAGAGGUUAUUGUGCGCCCGAACUUUUCACACAAGAAUUGGAGGAGAUUUAACACAUGGAAUAAUAAACAGAGGAAGGCGGGCUAAUGCAGAGCAGAUGGGCCUGCAGGGCAGUGCUCAGCAUUUCAACAUCUUUCCCCUGGACCUUUGGACCCAAGGUGAUUGCAUGCUGGUGUCUUUAGCUAAAAAUAAAGUUAAUGUCUUUGGGGCAAUCAUAAAUAUGGCUGCUUCAGUUUCUGGGGUGAUUGGUGGUCUAAAGUUUUCAAGAACCUACUAUGUGAAAGGCAUUUGACAUUCACUAAUUUAAUCCCAACUACUACUCCAUUUUGAAGGAAAAAAAUGAAGGCUCUGAAAGUGUAAAUCGCUUACUGAAGGGCACACGGCCAGGAUGACAGCGGAGCCAGGAUCACCCCAGGUCUGUCUCAUUGCAUAUGUCAUGGCUCUGCAAACUGGGGCAAUAGGUGAGCAGGGAGAAGAGUCAUGGCCAAAUAAAAUUGAGACAUACCGAUACACACACACACACACACACACACACACACACAUUUACACGGUAACAGCCUUAUUAAGGUACAACUAAUGUACAAUAAGGUGUACAUAUUUAAAGGAUACUAUUUGAUAAGUUUUGACAUAUGUCUGUACCUGGGAAACCAUCACUACAAUCAUGAUGGUGAGCAUAUCUAAUACUCUCAAAAGUUUCCUCUUGCCUUUUGUAAUUCCAUUCUGCCAUCCCACCUGUCCCUCCCACUCCUGAUCCCAGGCAACCACUGAUCUGCUUUCUGUCACUAUAGAUUAGUUACAUUUUCUAGAAUUUUAUAUAAAUGAAAUAAUACAAUAUGUACUAUUUUUCUGUGUUUCUUUCACUCAGCAAAAUUAUUUUGAGAUUCAUUCAUGUUAUUGCUUGUUUAUUCCUUUAUAUUGUUGAGUAGUUAUUCCAUUGUAUGAAUAUGCCACAAUUUGUUUAUCUGUUCAUCUACAUAUGGACAUCUAUAGAUGUUUGCACUUUUGGGC